AUGAACGCUGGCGGCGUGCCUAAUACAUGCAAGUCGAGCGAACGGACGAGAAGCUUGCUUCUCUGAUGUUAGCGGCGGACGGGUGAGUAACACGUGGAUAACCUACCUAUGAGACUGGGAUAACUUCGGGAAACCGGAGCUAAUACCGGAUAAUAUUUUGAACCGCAUGGUUCAAAAGUGAAAGACGGUCUUGCUGUCACUUAUAGAUGGAUCCGCGCUGCAUUAGCUAGUUGGUAAGGUAACGGCUUACCAAGGCAACGAUGCAUAGCCGACCUGAGAGGGUGAUCGGCCACACUGGAACUGAGACACGGUCCAGACUCCUACGGGAGGCAGCAGUAGGGAAUCUUCCGCAAUGGGCGAAAGCCUGACGGAGCAACGCCACGUGAGUGAUGAAGGUCUUCGGAUCGUAAAACUCUGUUAUUAGGGAAGAACAUAUGUGUAAGUAACUGUGCACAUCUUGACGGUACCUAAUCAGAAAGCCACGGCUAACUACGUG
rnacentral:rRNA from 1 species